AUUUUGAUCAUAAGAUUGUAAUGUCUAACUUCUAUCAGCCAAGUUUUAUGAACGAGCUUAACCAAAACUAGAGCUAUCUUACAAAAGAUACAUGUUGCUCACGAGCUUUACAAGUUACAACCCGAAUAUACCAAAGUUCAAGCUCAACUCAUUUUUCUUGAGCCUAAUAAUUUGUUCGAGCUCAUCUUGAUGAGUCAUGUGACAUAUGUAUUUUGUGCAGAAUCAAAAACUUGGACGAGUUAGCUUUGAUUAAUAAAAUGAUAUCCUAUUUACUCACCUAGUUACAGAAUUUAGGUUUAACUAAUUG
rnacentral:lncRNA from 1 species